ensembl:lncRNA
GCAACAGCUAAACAAACGCAGCAGCAGUUACACAGAAAAGAGAACAAAGAUGAGUUUGCAGAAAUUUGCACAGUUUCGAGGACGUUUUCAUAACAGUUAAGUUGUUUACAUUGUAUUUAGUUGUGGUUGCACAGUCUUAGUUACACAGAUUUGGGUGAUUUCAGUUGACUUUGUUCGUUAGCAACACGCUAACGUUUUGCCGUGCACCUGGUCCGAGGUCAAUGACAGAACAGAAAUGUCAGAGCUAACGUUAGGUCUAGGACGAAAAUGAAGAAUUGACAUCUGGUCACAUUUCACAUAUGACAACAAGACCGCCUGUAAACCGUGUGGAGCAAAAAUCGCUGGGAAAAACACCACCAACUUGAAGCGACAUUUACAGACGACUCAUCCAGAAAUACAUACCAAGAUACAGAAGACGUAUGAUGACAGUGAUGACCAUGGGCCAAGUGGAAAUAAAGCUAGUGCUGCUAGUGCAACCCAGCAGCAGGCCAUCUCUACAGCUUUCCUAUGUUCUUCAAAGUAUAAAAACGAAUCGAAGGAACAACAGACCAAGGAGCAGGCCAUAGCUAGAUGGAUUGGACGCACAGGUUUACCACUCACAACAAUUGAAGAUGAGGACUUUGUGCUAAUGAUGGAGAUAGUGGAUAGGAGACUAACAGUUCCAAAGAAAACUAAAAUGAGCAAUUUGAUUGAAACACAGUAUGAACAUGAAAUACUAAAAUUCAAAGAGAGACUGGCUGCUGCCCGGAGAGUAUCCAUUGGCCUUGACUUGUGGACAAAAAAAGGACUGACAGCCUCAUUCCUCGCUAUAAGUGCAUGCUACUUUUGUGUUGAACUAAGUAAACCUGUACAUAUAUUGUUGGCCCUUGAACAAGUAGCUCACCCACACACUGCACAGUCUAUUAAGGCAUGUGUGGACAAAUGUAUGCAAGAGUGGGCCAUACCAAAGCAGAAGAUCCUGACGGUAAUAACGGACAAUGGGAGUAACAUGGUGGCAGCCUUUAAAAACACCACAGCCGAAGAAACCAGCUCUGAGGACGACUCCCCUGGGUCCACGAUGGAAAGUGACUCUGAAAUUGAUGACCAGCGGUACCAUCAUGUCGAUAUGGAAAUGGACCGGACACCGUGUGUGGUGCAUACCAUAAAACUAGUGGUCCACAUGUUGCAGAAAGAGACAACUGUCAAAAGAGUCCUCGAUAAAGCAAGGUCUGUGGUGAAGCUCUUUCGCAAGUCCUCAGUUGCAACACAAAGGUUAUUGGACCAGUGUGGGGUUAUUGUUGUAAAUGACUGCCCCACGCGCUGGUCAAGCACAUUUAACAUGGUCACACGACUCCUCACAGUCAAAGAUGCAGUCUGUCAAAUCUCAAAUGACAUGGGAUGGGACAAUUUGCUUACUAGUGAGUGGCAAAAGCUUUCAUCAUUGCAUGACUUACUGCUGCCUUUUGCUGAACACACUAAAACCCUCCAGAGUGACACCACAUCAAUGUCCCUAGUGGUUCCUGCCCUUUUUGAUCUGCUGAGCCACCUAACUGACUUUGCAAAGAACACUCGGUACAGAGACCUCGUCACUCUUGCAGAGAAAAUGAGAUCAAAUCUGAACCAGCGUUUUUCUUGCCUCUUAGAUUCAACCGAUGAAAAGUUCUCAGCACUUGCAGCAGCUGCCUGCUUUGUUAACCCAACUGUCUGUGAAAUCCUUGUUAAUGUUGAUGUGGCUGAUGGAAAUAUCCAGGAACUGCUGAAACAGGCAGAAGAAUAUGUGGUCAAAUGCACUUUCCCACACACAAGACAGGAGGACCAGUCUGAAGAUGAUGCAGAAGAAGAGGUUAUUGAGGAACCAGAAGCAGCGCCAUCCUCAAAGCAGCCGGUGUUUAGGUUCCUCUCAAAAUGCCGCACCUCAAGGCCUAAACAGAAAACCUCCACAACUAGCAUCAGACAGCAGAUCAUCAAGUACGAGGAAGAACUUUCACAUCCCAUCACUGAGGACACAGGGACAGACUUCUGGCUGGCAAAGAGUGACAGUUUUUAUCACAAUUUAAAACCUUUUGCGUUAGACUUGUUGGCUAUGCCAGCUUCUCAAGCUUUUGCGGAGAGGGUAUUCAGCAUCACAGGUGACCUCACAAGAGGACGGCGCAACAGGGGAAGGGUCACAUUGGAGCGAAGUGCUUUACUUAAAAUGAACAGAGACAAAUAGAACUGUUGUAUUUACUGCUAUUUACAGCAUUUCCUGUAGUAGUAUAUGCACAACUUGAAAGUUACUGAUCUUGUAUUUUUGUUUUUUGUUUAAUAUGAGAGCAGAGGUUUUUUUUUGUUCCAUGCAAUAAUGGCAUUACAGCUUAGCAUGUAAUUCACUUGUCUUGAGUUGAGCUCAUUGAUAUUAGCUCAUUGAUACUACUUUUAAUUAUUAACAGAAGAAU